rnacentral:rRNA from 1 species
AAAUUGAAGAGUUUGAUCAUGGCUCAGAUUGAACGCUGGCGGCAGGCCUAACACAUGCAAGUCGAACGGUAACAGGAAGAAGCUUGCUUCUUUGCUGACGAGUGGCGGACGGGUGAGUAAUGUCUGGGAAACUGCCUGAUGGAGGGGGAUAACUACUGGAAACGGUAGCUAAUACCGCAUAACGUCGCAAGACCAAAGAGGGGGACCUUCGGGCCUCUUGCCAUCGGAUGUGCCCAGAUGGGAUUAGCUAGUAGGUGGGGUAACGGCUCACCUAGGCGACGAUCCCUAGCUGGUCUGAGAGGAUGACCAGCCACACUGGAACUGAGACACGGUCCAGACUCCUACGGGAGGCAGCAGUGGGGAAUAUUGCACAAUGGGCGCAAGCCUGAUGCAGCCAUGCCGCGUGUAUGAAGAAGGCCUUCGGG